GAUUUGCCAGAUCAACUCCUGCUGGAUGCACAGGUAUUUUGGGCAGGUUCUUUCUGCUGUUGUCAGUAAAAUACUGUAUUAUGCGCAUUGCUUGUUAAUUGUUUUUUGUAUAUGUGGCAUGACCAGGGGGUGAGAGGUCAGCUUCAUGACGAAAGCAAAGAUUUUGCAUAAAAUUCCGACUACGCCACCCUGGGACUUACAACCAGGGAAAUAUUCCUUACACCCAAAAAGGCAGUAAAGGCACACAAGUUCGUCCCUCUUAAAAGGCAGAGUGAGCAAGAGACGUGGCUGUUGAAAGGCUCCUUUUGGAGCAGGUCGGAGAACUGCAGCUUAAAAUGGAUUACAUAAUCAAACUACUUCAAAAGAAUUCUUCUGUACCUCAUGAAGAUUUUAAUUUGAACAUGCUGCCACUGCUUACACUGCAAGACCUGAAGAACUUUGAUGACCAACUUCGGGCUGAUAGCACCUUUAAGAAGAAAGUGAUAACUAACUGUCAUUGUCUGGUGGCAAGAACUUAAAGGAAACAGUUUGGAGAGUUUGCACAAAAAUAUUUGAUCAGAAUCUUUCAACCCAGCUGAACUGGUGCGGUAGAGGUCAAAAGACAGGCCUUAAAUCACGGCCUAUUCAUCAGGUACUCCUGAGUAAGUCCUACAAUGUGUUGAAGCAACAUUCUGUCACUAUUCAA